UUAGGAUACAAAAUCUUAGCUUUCCCAGCAAACUGGGUGAUCACAGACACAAUGAGUUUAACAUUCUUCCCUCUUGAAAUCCAACGAUGAGUUCGGCCAGGCUGACUCAGAAAGAUCCGAAAUGCCCAGCAGUCUCAUUGAAAAGUGCUUUCGAGAAGCUUGCAUACCUUUCCCUGGUCUCCAGGAUCUGCACAGAGCUUGAAAACUAUAAUGGGGGUUUUGGAGACAAAGUCGUAACAGAGUUGAUAGCUGAGGUGGGGCGAAACUGUGAGGCGGUGGACGAGUUUCGUAAAGUGAUGAAGCAAAACGGUGUUGACAUGCCUGAAAAUGUUAUGUCCGUGUUGUUAACGAUUGUUCACUCUGUUCUUCAUCCUACAAAGGUUUCUCAGAAAAACAUAAUCCCGGACAUGGCGAUUAACAAUAGCAUGGGAAGGCAACGAGACGAUAAAAGAGGUAAAGGUGAGCUUAGGAGUAGGAGGAGGCAUAGAAAUUCACAACAGAAUAAAAACUUGCCGAUAUACAAGUUGAAGAAAGAGCUUAUUCAAGCUGUGCAUGAAAAUCAGGUUCUAGUUGUCAUUGGUGAGACUGGUUCGGGCAAGACAACUCAGGUAACACAGUAUCUUGCUGAAGCAGGUUACAGUACAAAGGGCAAGAUAGGAUGUACUCAACCCCGUAGAGUUGCGGUGACAUCUGUGGCCAUGAGGGUUGCUGAAGAAUUUGGUUGUGAUCGAUUAGGGGAGGAAGUGGGGUAUGCUAUUCGUUUCGAAGAUUGUACUGGACCGGAUACUGUGAUCAAGUAUAUGACUGAUGGGAUGCUUUUUAGGGAGUUUUUGGUUGAUAAUGAUCUUUCUCAGUACUCGGUGAUCAUGCUUGAUGAAGCUCAUGAAAGAACAAUCUUCACUGAUGUCCUCUUUGGAUUGCUGAAGCAACUUGUGAAGAGGCGUCCUGAUCUUCGCUUGAUUGUCACAUCUGCCACACUGGAUGCUGAGAAGUUCUCGGCUUAUUUCUUCGACUGUAAGAUAUUUACUAUUCCUGGUAGAACUUAUCCUGUAGAAGUGUUCUACUUGCAUCAGCCCGAAAGGGAUUAUUUGGAUUCAGCUCUAUUAACUGUUCUGCAGAUUCACUUGACAGAACCUGAGGGUGACAUACUUCUCUUCUUGACUGGUGAGGAGGAGAUUGAAUCUGCUUGUCAGUCUCUGAAUGAGAGAAUGAAAGAGUAUGGAAAAAGGGUUCCGGAAUUGAUCAUUCUACCGGCUUAUGGUGCCCAACCUAGUGAAGAGCAGGCAAAGAUAUUUAAUCCUACUCCUCCAGGGAAGAGGAAAGUGGUGGUGGCUACCAACAUUGCUGAAGCUUCUUUAACCAUUGAUGGGAUAUUUCAUGUCAUUGAUUCAGGAUAUGCAAAGCAAAAUGUGUAUAAUCCGAAGAAAGGGAUUGACAUGCUGACUGUAGCUCCAAUAUCACAAGCAUCAGCUAAGCAACGAGCAGGGCGUGCUGGGCGGACUGGACCAGGUAACUGUUACCGCCUUUACACUGAGGCUGCAUUUAAGAAUGAGAUGUCUCCUGCUACAGUUCCAGAAAUCCAGAGAACAAAUCUUGUAUAUACCACACUUAUGAUGAAAGCAAUGGGGAUAAAGGACGUUCUAUCUUUCGACUUCAUGGAUCCACCGCCUUCCCAAGCACUUACUUCUGCUUCAAAACAGCUGCAAAAUCUAGGAGCAUUGGAUGCAGAGGGGUCAGUGACAAAAUUGGGGAGUAGAAUGGCGGUGUUGCCUCUAGAUCCACCUUUGUGAAAAAUGCUGCUUGCCAGUGUGAACCUUGGAUGCAGUGACGAGAUUUUGACCAUUAUUGCAAUGGUUGAGGCAGGCAAUAUCUUCUACAGGCCUAAAGGAAAACAAGCUGAAGCUGAUCAGAAAAGGGCCAAGUUUUUACAGCCUGAGGGAGACCAUCUGACUUUACUUGCUGUUUAUCAGGCAUGGAAAGCUAAGAAUUUCUCUGUACCCUGGUGUUAUGAGAACUUUGUCCAGCAUCGGUCAAUGAGCAAGGCUAGGGAUGUCAGGAGACAGCUUCUUACUGUCAUGGACAAGCAUGAAUUAGAGGUUGUAAAUGCAGGGAAAGAUCGUACAAUGAUCAGAAAGGCGAUUGUAGCUGGAUUCUUCUUCCAAGUAGCUAAAAGGGAUCCACAUGAUGGUUAUAGAACCUUUGUUGAUAAUCAGCUAGUUUAUAUUCACCCAAGCAGUGUUCUUUUCCGGAGACAACCAGAUUGGGUCAUCUACAAUGAGCUGGUGAUGACCACAAAGGAGUACAUGCACGAGAUCAGUGUUAUAGAAUCUAAAUGGCUCAUGGAACUGGUGCCAGGAUUUUUUAAGGUAACAGUUCCUCCAAGGAUUAACAAGCGGAAGCGUCAAGAAAUUGAACUACUUAGUAGACAAUGUCCCUAAUAUGUGUAAAUCUGAAGUUCUAAAUACUCUUGUUGUCGAAGCAUGUAGAUAUUGUUGUCAAAAAUUUGUAUCCAGGUAUGAAUGCCGUAGCUAUGAUUUAACUAUUUCUGCUAAGUACAGACACUAUUUGUUCCAUGUUUAAUAUUUGAAUGUGAAACAUUUGUCAAUUCAAUCAUCUUUAGUGUCUUCUUUUCCUAUUUCUGGCGAUGCUGCCUUUUCUUUUGUUUUGCUAAUCCAAUUGUCAAAUGACUAUGAAUUUUCGUGGCGAAUCUUAUAGACGAAAAUGUUUGCAAUGACCCUUUUGAUGCUUGGGGAGAGAAUUCUGAUGGUCUUGCAUAAAGCUUCCAGAUAGUUUAAGGCAGAUGGUUAGUCAGCAGUAAUUUUCGAGCAGAAUCUCUGAGAGAAAGAGAGAGAUGGCAGGGAUUGGCAGCUGAGAAAAUCAGUGAAGCAUAUCCAUUGAAAGGUGGAUUGGCCCCAAUAGCUAUGCUAAGGACUCUACUUACCAGGUUUGUCUUACUUCACCCUAAAUGAAUUCAACUUAGUUCGACUCUGAUAUCAAUUAAUCAUUUUAAUU